rnacentral:lncRNA from 1 species
GGGCUAAGGGGUAUGGUUAUAUAGUCCCCUCAAGUGAACCUGGGCCGUCGGAUCAAACCGACAUUGAUUGAACGGUUAUUCUUGAUCCUUUAGGUCGGUGGAGCAUAAUCCGCGAGGUUGAACGUGAUUGGCCACUAUAGCAGGGCGGGCGCCCUAAGGACUUGGGCGGGCGCCCAAGUCCUGGCUCCGUUCGGCCUCCGCUUCCUUCCCGUGGC